CAGCCGCCGCGGUAAUACGAAGGGGGCUAGCGUUGUUCGGAUUUACUGGGCGUAAAGCGCACGUAGGCGGACUUUUAAGUCAGGGGUGAAAUCCCGGGGCUCAACCCCGGAACUGCCUUUGAUACUGGAAGUCUUGAGUAUGGUAGAGGUGAGUGGAAUUCCGAGUGUAGAGGUGAAAUUCGUAGAUAUUCGGAGGAACACCAGUGGCGAAGGCGGCUCACUGGACCAUUACUGACGCUGAGGUGCGAAAGCGUGGGGAGCAAACAGGAUUAGAUACCCCUGUAGUCCCUGUCUCUUAUAA
rnacentral:rRNA from 1 species